UUCUCCUGUCGCACACCAGAGUGAGUAAGAGAGAACGGAUCUGAGAGAGAGAGCUGAUUCGUGACUCUGUGAGAGAGACGCAAAAAUUAGAAGAAGAAGAAGAAGAGAAGAGUAUGGGUUUUCAGCAGAGAUCAAGAAAGAAGAGAGCGGCACUUUGCGGGUCAAACCUAGGAUUGUUGGAAUCGGGAGUACGAGCAAUCCAAUCAACCCCCGCAACC